rnacentral:lncRNA from 1 species
UGUAAUGGAAUAUUUAUUUUGCUGCUUGAGCUGUGUAGGUAGUGGAGUUGGACUGAAACACAACUAAGGGGAGUUUGAGUAGAAUUUGAAUGGAGUUGUUGGGGGAGUUGAGGAGAAAUUGGUGGAGUAAUUCAAGGUGGGAUAAGGGAAGAGAUUUUAGGAGAAAAUCAAGGGAAGUGAGGGGAGAGCAGAAGUGUGCCGAAUGUGGACUUUGAUACUCCGGAAAUUCGGCCAAAAGGGGAUACUGCUCAUUUUGGUAUACUUCUCAUUUCGAUUUUAGGUAAUGUUUCCCUUUUUUUUAUUUUUGGUGUCAAAUUUUUGCUAAGUUUUCAUGUAUCUCUUGGGUUUGUUCGAUUACUUUUUUGCUCUUCCUUUUUUUUCUUUUGGUUUUGGCCGAAUAGUAUUUUGGUUCCCUCCUCUGCCAAAUUCUCCUUUCAUUCUUUCAGUUAUCUACUUUUGAUUAUCCAUUCCUUUUUCUUUCUUCUUCUCUUCCUCAAUUUGUGCUCUCUUGGCCGAG